AUUGAACGCUGGCGGCAGGCCUAACACAUGCAAGUCGAACGAGUGGCGGACGGGUGAGCAAUGUCUGGGAAACUGCCUGAUGGAUGGGGUUAACUACUGGAAACGGUAGCCAAUACCGCCUACCAUCAGCUCUGCCCAGAUGGGAUUAGCUAGUUGGAGGGGUAAAGGCUAACCAGGGCGACGAUCCCUAGCUGGUCUGAGAGGAUGACCAGCCACACUGGAACUGAGACACGGUCCAGACUCCUACGGGAGGCAGCAGUGGGGAAUAUUGCACAAUGGGCGAAAGCCUGAUGCAGCCAUGCCGCGUGUAUGAAGAAGGCCUUCGGGUUGUAAAGUACUUUCAGCGGGGAGGCGUUACCCACAGAAGAAGCACCGGCUAACUCCGUGCCAGCAGCCGCGGUAAUAC
rnacentral:rRNA from 1 species